rnacentral:rRNA from 1 species
UAAGGAAUAUUGGACAAUGGAGGCAACUCUGAUCCAGCCAUGCCGCGUGAAGGAAUAAGGCCCUAUGGGUUGUAAACUUCUUUUAGACGGGACAAAACCCCUUUACGUGUAAAGGGUUGAUGGUACUGUCAGAAUAAGCAUCGGCUAACUUCGUGCCAGCAGCCGCGGUAAUACGAAGGAUGCAAGCGUUAUCCGGAUUUACUGGGUUUAAAGGGUGCGUAGGUGGGCUUAUAAGUCAGUGGUGAAAUCUCCGAGCUUAACUUGGAAACUGCCGUUGAUACUAUAGGUCUUGAAUUAUCUGGAGGUAAGCGGAAUAGGUCAUGUAGCGGUGAAAUGCUUAGAUAUGACAUAGAACACCAAUUGCGAAGGCAGCUUACUACAUAUAAAUUGACGCUGAGGCACGAAAGCGUGGGGAUCAAACA